rnacentral:rRNA from 1 species
CAGUGCCGCGGUAAUACGAAGGGGGCUAGCGUUGUUCGGAAUUACUGGGCGUAAAGCGCACGUAGGCGGAUAUUUAAGUCAGGGGUGAAAUCCCGCAGCUCAACUGCGGAACUGCCUUUGAUACUGGGUAUCUUGAGUAUGGAAGAGGUUAGUGGAAUUGCGAGUGUAGAGGUGAAAUUCGUAGAUAUUCGCAGGAACACCAGUGGCGAAGGCGGCUAACUGGUCCAUAACUGACGCUGAGGUGCGAAAGCGUGGGGAGCAAACAGGAUUAGAUACCCGCGUAGUCCCUGUCUCUUAUACC